AGCGGCAGGCAAAAAGCAUGCGUUGGCAAAGUGCAACAUCCCUAAAACCAGAUAAGUAUAACAAAUUAUUAUUAAAAAUAGUGCAAGUGUUAAGAAAAAGAAAUUAUAGAAGGAUUAAAAAUUUAUGUUUUACAGUCAUAUUGUUUCAUACCGUUCCAAAUCAGAUAUUUGAAGAGAUAACACGGCUAAAAAAGCAGAGCAAUUAUGGAAAGACGGCAUUCGCUUUCCCAAUUAAGCUACCCAUACAAUUAUAUUGGUGUGCAAGCAACUAUAAAGGAUAUGUUCUAGUGCAGAUUAUAACUUUCUUUACAUAAUUCAUAACAGACCCGGUAUGCUCCCUCUGUUCGAUAAAUAACUUCAUGGCCCCUUCAUGGGGGUUCUAAAACGUGUACUAAAAGGAAAGCAGCUACAUGUAGAAAAGAUGUCCAUGAAACAUUCCAACUUUAUCA